GACCCUACACUCAUCAUCAUGGUCUUACGAAGAUAGACAGGACAAGAGGCAGCAGUAUUACCAGUCGUCACCAACCUCACGUUGAUCUCAAAGUUUGGUGAAGUGCCGCAGGCACCUUGAGGACAUCCCUGGUGCGAACCACACUCCCUGGUUGUUCAAGCUUUCCUACCACCACCAAAGGAAAGGACUCAAGACAUCAGUAAGACAUGGAACUUAGAGCCGUGUCGUCUGAGAGAGGAGCCAGCCAGGAAACCUCGCUGGGUGGCUGUUUUGCAGCCUGGCGAGCGUAAACGGCCGACGUGCAGGAAAACAGUCUGCAGGUCCUAGGACCGAGAGAUACAGCUGGUUGUCAUUCAUCACUCGCUACUCUGGGUCUGCACUCACCCUAGCGUGUUGAGGGCUGGCGGCUGCUUGUGACCGCCCGCAGCGAGACGUAGGGGCAGCCCGUAACACCCGCAGCAUCACGUUCAUGGGCGUGUGGCGGACGAGGAAUACAACUCUGGCCUCGCAACGGGUGAUUAUUAUUUAUUACCAGUCGUCACCAACCAAGUUGAUCACACAUCCCUGGUUGGUGAAGGACUCAAGACAUCAUCAAAUAAGACAUGGAACUUAGAGCCGUGUCUUCUGAGAGAGAAGCCAGCCAGGAAACCUCGCUGGGUGGUUGGUGCUGCCUUACUUGACGGCAAGUACAACCAACCACUCCCGUCUCCCUAACAACAACUGGGGGGAUAGCCGAGGGCUUUAAUUUGUAGUAUUCCUUCCUCAGUACUAAGUAGUAGUAGUGUACUAACUAGUAGUACUGUGUGUUUGUUAUAGGGCUUGUCAAACAUAACAGACUACUUAUUUUAUAUACUUGAUGUUGGGAAAUACAAAAUGGCCCAUCACAGCUGUCUAUCUCUUCUUGCAGUUUUGCAGCCUGGCGAGCGUAAACGGCCGACGUGGAGGUAAAUAGUCUGUAGGUCCUAGGACCGAGAGAUACAGCUGGGUUGUCUGUCAUUCAUCACUCGCGCUACUCUGGGUCUGCACACACAACCUAGCGUGUUGAGGGCUGGCGGCUGCUGCUUGUGACCGCCCGCAGCAUCACGUACAUGGGCGUGUGGCGGACGAGGAAUACAACUCUGGCCUCGCGACGGGUGAGCAGGCGGUCGCCGAGGACAGGGAGUAAUGUAAGAAUGGC